UUGCACAUCUCGCAAGAAUUU
rnacentral:snRNA from 1 species